rnacentral:snRNA from 1 species
GUGGAGUUGGACCUUCCAAGCGCACUAAUUUCUUGCCUUUUACCAGAGAUUACCGUGGAAUGGCCAAAUUCACUCCAGUACUCUAAUCUUUGGAACCCCACAUUCGAUU